GUGAAUCAUCGAAUCUUUGAACGCAAAUUGCACUCACUGGUAUUCCGGAGAGUAUGCCUGUUUGAGGGUCAGUUUAAAUAAAAAUCGGUUUGGUUGUUGCCUUUCGUGGUGACGCACCGGAUUUGGGUCGUCUUGCUUUCGGUUAAGUGUCUUAAAAUUUUGCAUGUUUUUUUUUGAACGUAUUUAAAUGAAUUUACGUACGUUUGCGAUAUCGAACAUUAGGUGUGGACAUCUAAAUAAUUG
rnacentral:misc_RNA from 1 species